GGUUUGUAGGCAGUGUAGUUAGCUGAUUGUAUCCACUACAAUCAGUAACUUCACUGCCAUCAAAAC
rfam:Amazona aestiva scaffold_146, whole genome shotgun sequence.